rnacentral:misc_RNA from 1 species
GAUGAAGAAGUAGCGAAAUGCGAUACGUAAUGUGAAUUGCAGAAUUCAGUGAAUCAUCGAGUCUUUGAACGCACAUUGCGCCCCCUGGUAUUCCGGGGGGCAUGCCUGUCCGAGCGUCAUUGCUGCCCUCAAGCACGGCUUGUGUGUUGGGCCUCCGUCCUCCUCCCGGGGGACGGGCCCGAAAGGCAGCGGCGGCACCGCGUCCGGUCCUCGAGCGUAUGGGGCUUCGUCACCCGCUCUUGUAGGCCCGGCCGGCGCUUGCCGACACAUCAAUCUUUUUUCCAGGUUGACCUCGGAUCAGGUAGGGAUACCCGCUGAACUUAAGCAUAUCAAUAAGCGGAGGA